GUGUGCUAUCCAAAAGAAUGCCCAAAUAGACAACCGUCUGAAAUCACCAAAGGAUUGCAACCUACGAAAUUGAUGGAAGUCAUAUGCCCCGUACGUGGGUUGGCACUAGAGCAUGCCGUCUCCCUCCAUAAUGGGAAACAUAGUUCGAGGAGCACAAAAGCCACUUGGAACAAACAGGGCCUAUGUCAGACGCGCAUGAGAAAUAGAGUAGGCUUGCUAGACAUGAUGGCAUGUGCCACAUGCGAUGGUGGGGGAAACCUCCGCACAGUCUCCAUGCAAAGCAUUGCUAGAUUGGGAGCCAAAAAUCCUCCCCAACAUUCGACAACUCCAAAACUUGCCAAAUAUUAGUAAGUUUCUACAAAUUGGCAAAAUAUAUUGGUACAACAAGCUGGUAGUCUAUCUUUUGUUUUGCCUAAACCUUGGCAAUCCAACCUUUGGGCACAAAACCAAGCAUGAUUUUCUUGAUGUGGUAGCCAAGCACAAACGACAUUUUCUGUAAGAUGGAUCUACCUUGCGCUCGGGGAGAAGCAUAAGAAAGAAAGCCAUGCUAAACACAUCCAUACCCAUUUGAAACAUACAAUAUUAUUGUUGAGUUCCUUGUGGAGAUUUUGCACAUAAAAUUUUAUUUUGUUCAAAAUUUUACAUAUUUAGCCUCGUGUAGUUGUGGUAGUACUAAAUGAUGGAAAAUAAGAGUGGAGGUGAUGUAUUUCCACAACUAACCAAAUGCAACCUAUAGAAUCUAUGUCCUGUAUAGUGCAUCGUCAAGAAGAAAACAAGAGAAACUUCCUGGAGGUUUUGAUGGAGGAACAUCAUCAACGAAAGGAAUUGAACCAUAUGUACUAGAAAAUACAGGUGAUGAUGGGUCUUCAUGGCGACCAGGCAGGAAAUUUCAAUCUAGCGAUACAAACAACACAUAGAUGUAAUUAUGGAUUUCGUGCAAAUCAUGCAGUGGUGGUUGUGAUUCCUAGCUCACUUCUUGUUGUGUGGAUCUUUUGCUUGUAAGAUCCAUAUCUCGGCCGAGGAGUGUACGACAUGUAGUGACAUCGAUAUGACAUGCUAACACUACAAUGGAGACACAAUGGUGAGGUCUAGGCAACAUUAGGAGUGGUGGGCGGAAUCAAAGUAUUUAAAAUUAGCCCAAAAAACUAUGGAGGAACUCUCUCGUCUAGCAUCCACAAGAUUAGCUUCAGGCACACGUGUGUGUGUGUAAGCAAGUACAUAUUAUGCGCCGGUUGGCAAUGACAAAGGUGCACACCAACUACGAUCCUUUGAAAAG